rnacentral:rRNA from 1 species
GAUGAACGCUAGCUACAGGCUUAACACACGCAAGUCGAGGGGCAGCGCAGUGUAGCAAUACACGGGCGGCGACCGGCGCACGGGUGCGUAACGCGUAUCCAACCUUCCCGUUACUCAGGGAUAGCCUUCCGAAAGGGAGAUUAAUACCUGAUGGUGUUUGAAUUCCGCAUGUUAUUCAAACUAAAGAUUUAUCGGUAACGGAUGGGGAUGCGUGACAUUAGAUAGUAGGCGGGGUAACGGCCCACCUAGUCUACGAUGUCUAGGGGUUCUGAGAGGAAGGUCCCCCACACUGGAACUGAGACACGGUCCAGACUCCUACGGGAGGCAGCAGUGAGGAAUAUUGGUCAAUGGUCGGAAGACUGAACCAGCCAAGUAGCGUGAAGGAUGAAGGUUCUAUGGAUUGUAAACUUCUUUUAUACGGGAAUAAAACCUCCCACGUGUGGGAGCUUGUAUGUACCGUAUGAAUAAGCAUCGGCUAACUCCGUGCCAGCCGCCGCAGUAAGAC